ensembl:snoRNA
UGGAGGACUGAGAAAGUUGAGCAGACAUUCUUAGUACUGCUGUAACUGGUUAUAACCUCCUAAAUAAAAUUAAAAAAACGUGCUGAAAUGGCUCCAAUUAUGUUUUAAGUCAUCUU